rnacentral:rRNA from 1 species
GACGAACGCUGGCGGCGUGCUUAACACAUGCAAGUCGAACGGAAAGGCCCUGCUAUUGUGGGGUGCUCGAGUGGCGAACGGGUGAGUAACACGUGAGUAACCUGCCCUUGACUUUGGGAUAACUUCAGGUAACUAGGGCUAAUACCGGAUAGGAUCUCCUGCCGCAUGGUGGGGGUUGGAAAGUUUCGGCGGUUGGGGAUGGACUCGCGGCUUAUCAGCUCGUUGGUGGGGUAGUGGCUUACCAAGGCUUUGACGGGUAGCCGACCUGAGAGGGUGACCGGCCUCAUUAGGACUGAGAUACGGCCCAGACUCCAACGGGAGGCAGCAGUGGAGAAUAUUACACAAUGGGCGCAAGCCUGAUGCAGCAACGCCGCGUGCGGGAUGACGGCCUUCUGGUUGUAAACCGCUUACGCCUGUGACGAAGCGUGAGUGACGGUAAUGAGUAAAGAAGCACCGGCUAACUACGUA